rnacentral:lncRNA from 1 species
CGAGCAUGAGACGUGAGACUCGAGAGGAUGAGAGACGAUAUCACAGGAUGAGAAUUCUAUUGCCGCAGGAUGAUAUCUCGAGCAGAUCUCAGGUCAGGAGAAGCACAGCAUACGAUGAAGAUGGGAUCGAGCGGUCUGGCUCGACUCCCAUGUCUGUCCAUCCAUAAUUAGCAGGUAAUUGCUUCAGGACAUGGGACGAGG